GCUAGUAAUGGCAGGUCAGCAUACUGCCGUGAAUACGUUCCCGGGCCUUGUACACACCGCCCGUCACACCAUGAGAGUUGGGGAUACCCGAAGCCUGUGAGCUAACUAUUUAUAGGAGCAGCAGUCGAAGGUAGAAUCAAUGAUUGGGGUGAAGUCGUAACAAGGUACC
rnacentral:rRNA from 1 species